UUCAUGCAUGACCUCUUCAUUACCUAUUCCCUCAACCUUCUGGCUCUCACAGAAACCUGACCUCAGACACAGCCUCCCCUGCUGCCUUGUCACAUGGGGGUCUCCACUUCAGCCACACCCCUAGGCCUGGAAACAGACAAGGAAGUGGUAUGCUGCUUCCGGUUCCUAUCGCAGUGACUGGGCCUGCACAGUGGUGCGAUGAAGACACCAAGGGACUUCCAGAUGCAACGUGCUGGUGUGGGGAUAUUGCUAUAAGGGAUAUAUUUUAUCAUUACAGCAUACUGUAGUCACAUAUAUAAUCAUUAAAUGGUCCAAUACCUUG